UGGUUGCUUGCUUGACUUCUAAACUAUAGCCUAAUGGUUGUGCCCAUGGAUAUAAAUGUUCACAAGAUGAGUUUGGACAUAUUUAGUCAGUCUGAGGUGGUGGCUGUGUGAGGUUGCUGGACAAGAUUGAUUGAAAGCAGGUGAAUUUAAUCAAAAGGUGAGGACACGUUCGAGCUGCAUGCGGUGCAGUUGGAGCUGGAGGCCGUGGAACGACAGAUCCGGACCCUUCUGGAGAAGCAGGCCGAGCUACGGGAGCGGCGAACAGCGCUGGAAACAUCCCGUGCUGACGCUCACCAAUCCUCGGUAAGUUUGCAGCGCGAUAUUAACAUUCCUGCUUCCUCUACGCCGUGUGCUUCUCUGCACAGGGCCCGAGCACCCAGAACGCGUUCAUCCCAGCCCUCGUUCACUCCGGCGCCGUCACACCAGGGACCUUGGGUUCUUCAGCAACGGAAGGCGCGAGCCAGGCCUCGGACCAGGACCUCUCCCCCUCCGCCGCCCCCGGUUUUCGAGGUCUCGACGAGGAACCGCUUCUCCCCUCUUCGCGAGGCAGAACGCGACGCCGUGGUCAUCGGAGACUCCAUCGUCCGUCACGUCCACGCUACCACAACCAAAGGUAAGGUGCGCCGUCACUGUUUUCCUGGUGCUCGUGUCCUCGAUGUCUCUGCGCAGGUUCCCGCGAUCCUGAAUGGCGCUGAGAGCAUCGGAGCUGUUGUUCUGCACGUGGGGGUGAACGACACCAGGCUGCGGCAGACGGAGGUGCUGAAGCAGGACUUCAGGAGCCUGAUCGACACGGUACGAGCCACAUCGCCCGCGACGAGGAUCAUCGUGUCCGGACCGCUUCCGACGUACCGACGUGGACAUGAAAGGUUCAGUAGAUUAUUUGCUUUAAAUGAAUGGUUAAUGUCUAACCCUAACUGAACAGAAGCUGCUCUUUAUAAAUAAUUGGAAUCUUUUCUGGGAGCGACCUAGGCUCUUCCGUGCUGAUGGCCUGCACCCCAGCAGAAUCGGAGCUGAUCUUCUGUCGGAGAACAUCUCCAAGACGCUUCGCACCGUAUGACUAAUGACUAAAACUUUGGAAGAGACUGCGCCAACUCCUGCGAUGACUUCAGAAGAUGCAACAUCUGGAUCAACACGCACAUUCGCAAAUUUCUAUAUAUCCUAAUUAUUGUUAAUAUGUAAUUCAUUUUUCCAGGAGCUCUUUGCUUCUACCUUCAAUUAAAUUGCUAACAGUGAUUGUAUAUUAAUCGCCUAAAUUAUUACAUUAUCAGCUAACUGCAGUCUCCAAAUUGUAAUGUUGACAUGCAUUCUCUGUAAAGCUGCUUUGAAACGAUAUGUAUUGUGAAAAGCGCUAUACAAAUAAAUGUGAAUUAAAUUGAAAUUGAAUUGAAUUAAUUAGUAUUUGGGGGCUGCACUGUGAUCCUUAACUUUUAAUUUGUCAAAUGACUCGUUUUAAAUAAAAAAAAAAAAAAAAAAAAAAAAAAACAGAUUUUUGGUAUAUAUACUGUUACACUGAAUGACAUUUAGUUUUAGCGUAAAUCAUGGUAAAAUGUAAGAGUCUUUUUUUUUUUUUUUUUUUUCUU